GUCCGCCCUCUGGGUGCGUAUCUGGCUCGGCUUGGGCAUCUUCUUGGAGAACGUAUCUGCACUUGACUGUGUGGUGCGGUAUCCAGGACUUUUACUUUGAGGAAAUUAGAGUGUUUCAAGCAGGCACACGCCCUGAAUACAUUAGCAUGGAAUAAUAAGAUAGGACCUCGGUUCUAUUUUGUUGGUUUCUAGAGCUGAGGUAAUGAUUAAUAGGGAUAGUUGGGGGCAUUCGUAUUUAACUGUCAGAGGUGAAGUUCUUGGAUUUGUUAAAGACGGACUACUGCGAAAGCAUUUGCCAAGGAUGUUUUCAUUGAUCAAGAACGAAAGUUAGGGGAUCGAAGACGAUCAGAUACCGUCCUAACCAUAAACCAUGCCGACUAGAGAUUGGAGGUCGUUAUCCAUACGACUCCUUCAGCACCUUAUGAGAAAUUAAAGUCUUUGGGUUCCGGGGGGAGUAUGGUCGCAAGGCUGAAACUUAAAGGAAUUGAUGGAAGGGCACCACCAGGAGU
rnacentral:rRNA from 1 species